rnacentral:sRNA from 1 species
AAGUGUUAAAAAUUUAUAUGUGUAAAACAUAUUGAACCUAGAACACCUCUAAAAGACCUCAUACUAUGGACGGGAUGUUGUGUCCAAUUAGUUUACACAUAUUUAAAAUUUAACACUUAAAAACAAA